UGGGGAAUAUUGCACAAUGGGCGCAAGCCUGAUGCAGCGACGCCGCGUGAGGGAUGACGGCCUUCGGGUUGUAAACCUCUUUCAGCUCCGACGAAGCGCAAGUGACGGUAGGAGCAGAAGAAGCACCGGCCAACUACGUGCCAGCAGCCGCGGUAAUACGUAGGGUGCAAGCGUUGUCCGGAAUUACUGGGCGUAAAGAGCUCGUAGGCGGUUUGUCGCGUCGUCUGUGAAAUUCUGAAGCUUAACUGCAGGCGUGCAGGCGAUACGGGCAGACUUGAGUACUACAGGGGAGACUGGAAUUCCUGGUGUAGCGGUGAAAUGCGCAGAUAUCAGGAGGAACACCGGUGGCGAAGGCGAGUCUCUGGGUAGUAACUGACGCUGAGGAGCGAAAGCGUGGGUAGCGAACAGG
rnacentral:rRNA from 1 species